rnacentral:ncRNA from 1 species
AUAGGUGCAAAUGUAACAUUCGCACCAAUGCAUUUCUUAGGUAGGGUAAUAAAUAUUCAUGCUUAAGUAAAACUUCACUAUGUGCUAGGAACUCCUAAAGUUUUAUUUACUAUACUGUAGAGUAAAGUGAUAAUAAUAAAAAUGUAACAAUGGACAAUUAGCAGGAAACCAAAGUAUAUACUUAUAUAUAUAAGUAGGGGAUCCCCAGAGACUAUACGUGAAGAGGUAUAUAAUUUAUUUAUAUAUUUAAGACAUAGUCCAGUUUAUAUUGAAAGAUAUAA